rnacentral:rRNA from 1 species
UUAUGGCUCAGGAUGAACGCUAGCGGCAGGCUUAACACAUGCAAGUCGAGGGGCAGCGGGAUGUAGCAAUACAUUGCCGGCGACCGGCGGAUGGGUGCGUAACGCGUAUGCAACCUACCUUAUACAGGGGAAUAACCUUUCGAAAGGGAGACUAACACCCCAUAGUAUUGAUUUAAGGCAUCUUAGAUUAAUUAAAUAUUUAUAGGUAUAAGAUGGGCAUGCGUAUGAUUAGCUAGUUGGUAGGGUAACGGCUUACCAAGGCGACGAUCAUUAGGGGUUCUGAGAGGAAGGUCCCCCCACACUGGUACUGAGACACGGACCAGACUCCUACGGGAGGCAGCAGUGAGGAAUAUUGGUCAAUGGGCGCAAGCCUGAACCAGCCAUGCCGCGUGCAGGAAAAGACGGCCUUAUGGGUUGUAAACUGCUUUUACAUAAGACUAACCGUAUAUUUGCGAAUAUACCUGAAUGUAUUAUGAGAAUAAGGAUCGGCUAACUCCGUGCCAGCAGCUGC